GUCGGCGUGGACGUAGAUAUUGUAGAGACUUGGGCGGGUUUGGUUGAAGAAUUUUUCCCAGAGGGGGAUGAAGUAGAGGUCGGAGUUGGUGAGGAAGAGGAAGGCAAUUUUGGGGCGGAAGGUGGAGGUGGAGCCGAGGCGGGAUUUGGUGGAGGGGAGGUGGGAUUUGACGGAGGUGGAGGUGGAAGAGGAGAGGGAGAUGGCUUUGUGGAAGAGGGACAAGUCGUCGAACUCGUCCGGGGCGGUGAUGGUGAGACGGCGAGGAGGGAGGAAGGAUGGGGCUAUGAAGUAGAA
rnacentral:lncRNA from 1 species